rnacentral:tRNA from 1 species
UGGAGCAUGGCCAAGGGGUUAAAGCAUCGAUUUUUGACAUCGUUAUCUGAGGUUCGAAUCCUCAUGUUCCAA